rnacentral:tRNA from 1 species
GCGGGCGUAGCUCAGUUGGUAGNNGUAGAGCACUAGCUUCCCAAGCUGGAUGUCGCGAGUUCGAGUCUCGUCGCCCGCU